rnacentral:lncRNA from 1 species
GUGAGCCAGCUCCUGCCGCUCACAUCUCAGUUUCCGGGCUCGUGCUCUGCAUCAGGCACUGCUGGCUUGAUGGCUAAUGCUUAUAGAAAUGCUUAUAGAGGGGACCCAGCACUCCUGUGGUUUCUUAAAGCAGAUGAAAAUUCACAUAUCAGCCAGCCUUUUUUUUUUUUCUUUGAGAGAGAGAUUUUCCCUAUCAAUGGUCACAUGCAAUUUUGAACUUGGCAUUUAAAGGAUGAUGGAGUGAUGUUUUCAACCUGAGCCUUCCAAAGGUGGUGUUCGCCCUGAGGUGGUGUGAGGCUGUUGCCAUUCUAGAUGCCACUCUCCACCAUCUUGCCUGCUCCCGUGUUCGUUGAAGAGCUGGCGCUUCAUCUACACUCUUCCUCUCGAACCUGGGCCACACCAGCCCUUAGCCGACUUGAGUCACCAGCACUCAGAUUGGAAAUCAAUCCGUGGUUAAUCAUCAGCAUCCUCAGCAUCGCAUUCUGCUUCUGUCUGACCAAACAUCAUCCUCGGAUUCAACCCACUUUUGUCUCUCUCCUUCUGGAACCCUGGGACUUUCUGGAGGAAAAACUACUCACGCAUCCUGAGCCUGUCUUUCCAGCCUUUAUUUGGUGUGUGUGGCCCCAGGCCCCGUGUCUCCAGCAGCCUGCCAGUCAUUCUGUCAGCCACCAAACAGAUGAAGGCUUUCUGAUCUCGCCUCCUUGCCUUCUCUUGCACCUGACCUGACGCCAGCUGCUGCUCUGUCCCCGGACUUCCCACCUAGGCUGUCCUCGGCUCUCUGCUUGGGCUCCAUCUUCUCGAGUGUGACUUCUUUUCCUUUUGCCACCCUCCUUGUUCCGCAUGGCCCCCCAGGUCAUUGGGUCCCCACAUGUGGCUCCAACAGCCCCCUGCGUGCUGACAGUUCUUCACUUCUGUGCCUAUUCUGGGUUCACCCCAGAGCUCUGUUGCACAUCGCCCUGUUCCAGACAGCCCUGCUCCAUGGCCCAUGGCACCCUAGCCACCCUGCCAGCCUACCUGUGUCUCCAUCUGCGCCAGCCCGGUUCCUCCAGCAGUUUCCUCUCCUUAACACCCAUUGCUCAAGACCAAAUUUGGGAAUCCGUCUUAGACUCCUCUCUCCCCCUCAUCCCCUCCUAAAUAUUUUUCAAAACCAACUUUUCUGCAUUCCCGCUCCUCUCAUCCUUGUGUAGGCUCUGGCUCUCUGUCACCUACGCAUUUGCCAACCAGCUGCUCUACCCGCCGCCACCAGCCCCUCCUUCCUCGGGGGUCUCCUGAAUUUCUCUCCCGCGCUGAUGGGACUACGUCACUUCCCUUUUCAAACUUCUCAGGGGCUCUGGGAGCCUUAAGACUACCAGCCCCUUGGCAUGGUGCUCCUACCUGGUGGCCUCUUCUUCCAGCCUUUGAGCCCCCUGCAGACAUGCACACUGUGCUAGCUCAUACCUUGUUUCCAGACAAUUCGUUUUCCUAGGCUUAAAACAUCCUUUCCUACCUCCUCCAAUUUUGUCUCCCAAAGCUGCUCAGGCGACCACUCUG